GCGGAUGGCUGGAUGACCGCGGGGGUUUCGGCCCGCGAGGAAAGUCCGGACUCCAUGAAGGCACGGUGCCGGGUAACGCCCGGCGGGGGUAACCCUAGGGAAAGCGCCACAGAGAACAGACCGCCCAUCUUGAUGGGUAAGGGUGAAACGGUGGGGUAAGAGCCCACCGCGGGACGGGUAACCGGACCGGCAAGGCAAGCCCCACCGGGAGCAAUGCCGAAUAGGGAUCUUGCGCAGGGCAACCUGCAGGGCGGCCUUCGCCUGAAAGAUCCGGGUUGGCAGCUCGAGCCCGUCAGCAAUGGCGGGCCUAGAUGAAUGGUCAUCCAGAGGGGCAACCCUUGGACAAAAUCCGGCUUACAGGCCAUCCGCGCAA
rnacentral:RNase_P_RNA from 2 species